GAGCAGAUAAUGAUAUGCAGACAAUUGAUACUGAAGUUUAAAUUCAUGAAGUCUCAAAAAAUCGAGCUUAUUAAAACUGAUGCUCA